GGGGCGGUAGCUCAGCCGGGAGAGCGUCGCGUUCGCAAUGCGAAGGUCGUGGGUUCGAUCCCCAUCCGCUCCACCA
rnacentral:tRNA from 1 species